GAAGAAGUGAUGCCACGCCGUGACAAAUCGCAGGAGCAUGGCUUUUCUCUUCUAUACAGUGGGAGCAAAAUUCGCUUUCGAUAGCGAUCUUUGUCAUGAAGAGUAUGGUCAGGGAUUUAUGAUGAUACCCUCCUUAUCCUGAGCGAAAGUCAUCCGAAUCUCCCAGUGCAGGCUUUUCAAUAUACCUUCCAGCGGAUCAAGUAUCUCAACCUUGUCACGUAUAAUCGCCCAACCUCCAGGCCUCAAGACUCGAUCCAUCUCAACAACAAUAGCCACCGGCUGCUUACACCUGUAUAGAACGAGAACCAAAAAGGAAGCUAAAUAACCACACAGAGGUAUUGGAUUCAAUGGGUUCGACCUAUAAAAGGUAAUACAGAGAAAAGCCGAUUGUCCACACAUCAGGGUUCAGCAAAAUGGAUUCAUAAUUGCAGAAGAGCUAUUGCCACCUCAAAAUAACAUGAAACAGGAGAUGAGAAACAUUAGCGUGUUAUUCAGCAGGACAGAAUCUGCUACAUAAAUUAACAUCUCAAAUUGGUUUUGCGUAAUGGCAUGAUGGUAGUCCACGCUAUAAAAAUAUGAGACGACAAGUACAGGAUAGAUAGAAUUGCGACCUAUCAUGUGCAUAACAUUCAUCGGGCCCUCUUUGCUGAGAAAUGGUUCACAUCACAAAAGGGGGCAUCCAUGCUUCAAAGCAGCAAGGGAAAAAAACCAAAAUCAUUUGGUCUUGCAUAAAAUUUGCAUGGGAUUCACUUCUUAAUUGAGCAUCUAUCUAUAUUUGUACAUAUGAAUAUACUAUAACAGAGUGCUUCCGAAGAAUCAUCUCUAACGAUGACCACGUAGGAUUUUAGCUAGCUGAAAGGCCUCGUCCUUGUUACAGACAUUCUAUAUGCUGCAUUUUCCACAAAAAAAUACUCCACCUAAGCGCCAUGGAUACCACUCAUUAUGCAGCAUUUGUUAUCAUCUUUUCACCUUGGUGACUUACCUUUUAUUAGAGUAAAUUGCAUAAGUAUCAUCUUUCUUUUGCAGCUCCUCUUAUUUGCUUCUAACAUAAAAACAUAACUUAAAGGAUAUCUCGAAUACAAAAUUUUCUUAUUAAACUUAUGACAUAUAGGUAUGAAAUAUGAUAAUUCAUUUGAAUUAUUUUUACUUUUUAGUUGCCCCAAAGAUUAAUUGUCUAAUCACGUGUAUAAUUCUUAUCAGCAAAUGAUACAUUAACACAAUGUUAUUCUCAUGCUUAGAUUUUACGAACUUCAUUUUGACUGGCGCCCUCUUGUGAGUUUCUAUUCAUUGAGAAUAUAAAUCAACCAAAUUGACUCAUUGUGUGCCGAAACACCACUUAGAAGAGAGUGGUGGUACAAUGCUAACAUGAAAAAAAGAGUUACAUAGUUUAGUAUUGGAGAUUUUCAUUACUAGGUAUUUGCUUUCGCCAUUUACUCCUUUACAUCCAAAACAAGCUACAAUAUAAACCGAUGAUAUUUUUUUCUUUCAGAUCACGUUUCUUUCUCUAUCUGUUGGUUAUUUUUUAGUCAUGCGCCUUGUUGUUUUGACCU